UACGGGGGGGGGCAAGCGUUGUUCGGAAUUACUGGGCGUAAAGGGCUCGUAGGCGGCCAACUAAGUCAUACGUGAAAUCCCCUCGGCUUAACCGGGGAACUGCGUCUGAUACUGGAUGGCUUGAGUUCGGGAGAGGGAUGCGGAAUUCCAGGUGUAGCGGUGAAAUGCGUAGAUAUCGAGAGGAACACCUGCGGCGAAGGCGGGUUGCUGGGCUGAUACUGACGCUGAGGCGCGAAAGCCAGGGGAGCGAACGGG
rnacentral:rRNA from 1 species